UACAUAGGGGGCGAGCGUUGUCCGGAAUGACUGGGCGUAAAGGGAGUGUAGGUGGCUUUGUAAGUUAUGUGUGAAAGCCCGCAGCUUAACUGCGGAAUUGCUCAUAAAACUGCAAGGCUGGAGUGCAGGAGAGGUAAGUGGAAUUCCUAGUGUAGCGGUGGAAUGCGUAGAUAUUAGGAGGAACACCAGUGGCGAAGGCGACUUACUGGACUGUAACUGACGCUGAGGCUCGAAAGCGUGGGGAGCAAACAGG
rnacentral:rRNA from 1 species